rnacentral:miRNA from 1 species
UAUUAGGCUGGUGCAAAAAUAAUUGCAGUUUUUGCUAUUACUUUUAAUGGUGAAAACUUCAAUUACCUUUGCACGAAUCUAAUA